UACAACACUUUUUUCAUAUUUUAGCUUAAACCUUAUUAUUUUACUUCUUCUUCACAUUUCAGCCGCCUUCAAACUUUCUACCACCUUCACCGCCGUCCUUUUAUUCUUAAUGAAUCAACAGCUAGAAUGGCCUCUCUUCUUCUUCGUUCGUUCGUUAGCUGAUGCUUCCGGAGGAGAAAAUUGUUAAUGCUUCCGUUCAUCCACCGAUGUCGUUUCUGUUCGUCCGCCGCUACAGCCUCUUUCGUCCGAUCCGUUUCCGCUGCUACUGAUGUUGGUGGACAAGGCGCUGGUACCGGCGUUGCUUCUUAAACUGCCGUCAACUUCUUCCUCCUCCGCUUCUCCUCCAUAUCAUCUGCCUUGUGAGUUCGACGGCGGGGACAAGAGCAUAAGCAACAUGGUUGUUUGAACUGAACGGCGGCAGCUUGAAAGCUUGGUGGAAGUUGGUGGUGGAAAUUGGUGGAGGAAGGUGACAACGGUAAUUGUUAGAUUAGGGGCAGUUCGACGGCGGUUACCUUUGAUAGGGGCGGCGGCGGCGGUUUCCAUCGGUGGAUUAGGGUUAGGUUUAAUUAAGUUUAAUUAGUGUUAAUUAGUGUUAAUUAGAGUUCUUACUGUAUUUAAUUAGUACUAAAUUUUGAUUAAUUUUUGUAAUUAACAAUCCCACUCUCUUUUAGGAGUGUUUUUGUGUCAGAGGGGCUGAUUUGAGCGAAAAACGCAAGUUGCGGGUCUGUUUGACCCAAAAACGUCUAAAAUGACUUAUUUGAUAUUUCGUGCCAAGUUGAGGGGGUGAAUUGACCCUUUGUUUGAAAAAUAUUAGUUGUCGAGUACCAUAGUAUACCAUCACUUGAUUCUGGUGGGUUUUGACUA